AAGAAGUUUUAUUCUUGCUUUUUCAUUCAGUUUAUAUUUGUUCUAUAUGUAAGUUUUGCGUGUUUUUCUUUCAUCUCUAGAUGGGUUGGUUGGAUUAUUGUUUUGUAAUUCUCAUUAGUUAUUAUUGGUUGAUCGAAUAUUUUUGUAUCUAGCAUUUUAUUUUAGUUUCGGUUAAAUUUUGUGCCAGCAGCCGCGGUUAUACCUUGGAGGCGUUUGAAUGUGUUUGGCUUAUUGGUAGUUAUAUUAUUUUAUUUUUUUAUGAUUUUGUUUUAUGGUAGUUUAAUAGGUGAAAUUUUUAUUUUUGUUUUAUUGUCUAUAUAUAUUUAAAGGCUGCGAAAUUCUUUUUAUAAACUAGGAUUAGAUACCCUAUUAUUUUGGAAUGUUAAGAUUUGUGCUUGAGUAGUAUUAGUUAUGUUCUUGAAACUUAAAGAAUUUGGCGGUAUCUCAUUCCGUUCAGAGGAAUCUGUCUCGUUAUCGAUAGUCCGCGUUGGACCUUACUUGUAUUGCUUUAUGGUUUGUAUACCGCCGUUUAUUGAUUAUCUUUUUAGAGUUGAGUAAUUUUCUGGUUUCUUUAUUUUGAUUUAUUUCAGGUCAAGGUGCAGCUUGUUUUCAAGUGUAUGAUGGAUUACAUUGUUAUUUGUUUUUGGAUUGUUGAUUAAAAUAUUGGCAUGAAAUUGGAUUUGGUUGUAAUAAUUUGUAUAUUGUUUUUAUGAUAUUGGUUUUGGGAUAUGUACACAUCGCCCGUCGCUCUCGUUCAGUGUUUAUUAAUGAGAUAAGUCGUAACAAAGUGGCUGUACCGGAAGGUGUAGCUGGAUUGAU
rnacentral:ncRNA from 1 species